rnacentral:lncRNA from 1 species
GGUUGAUUUGGAGGGAUGUCAGGAGAUCAAAAGAAGGAUAGCUUUGGGAACCAAGGUGAUUUUCCUCCUCUGUGUUUUCCAGUCAGCAACAUCGGAGUCUGCGUUUGAAGGGGAGCCUGACAGCGUUCUUUUGCCGGUUUGUGUGCUGCGUGCUGGUGGAAUGGAACCAGCAGAUGAUUGAGAAUGAUACGACACUCUCUAGGAAGGAGUAGUAAAAAGUCCGUAAAAUGUCUUUCCUGACUACAAAGGAUAUGAGCUGCCUGGUGACACUUUCUGAGAAUCUCCUCUGUGUUGGAGGAGAACUUCAGCAGGGGAUCGAAAAUGAUGCCCAAGUAUUUAUAAUCCUCAACUAGCUCUACUGGCUUCCUGUGGAUGGAGGUAACUGCUGCAGCCAGGUCCCCCUGCUUGGUGGUGAAGAUCACCACCAUUUCCUUGGUUUUACUGAUGUCCAGUUCCAGACAUGAGGUGUCACACCAGUCCAGAAACUCCUGCAGAAGCAGACCAUGGUUGUGUGAGGGGCCUGACAGUCUGGAGGACUGUGUCCUUGGCGUCCUUCACCGGGUGUCUGUGCCUGCAGUCAUCUGUAUAUAAGAUGAGGAGCAGAGGAGAGAGCCGACCAGGUGGCGGUAUAACAGAUGGCGGUAUAACAGAGGUCAUCAGCCAGGAGAGAGACAUCCGCGCCAGAGAAAGAAUACAGGAAGCAGCGAGAGGU